UACGUAGGGUGCAAGCGUUGCCCGGAUUUAUUGGGCGUAAAGGGCGCGCAGGCGGCCGAGCACGUCCGUUGUGAAAUCGCCUGGCUCAACUGGGCGGGGUCAGCGGAUACGGCUAGGCUGGAGCAAGCUAGGGGGCAAUGGAAUUCCCGGUGUAGUGGUGGAAUGCGUAGAUAUCAGGAGGAACACCGAUGGCGAAGGCAGCUCGCUGGGACGGUACUGACGCUGAGGCGCGAAAGCGUGGGGAGCGAACAGG
rnacentral:rRNA from 1 species